AAAUUGUGUUGUGGGAAAUAUACCAAUCCCUUGUAUCUUUCUUAAGCUUCAUAUAAGGACUCCCCACUCUCUUGUUGGAAGUUAGCUAUUUUUUCUUGAUUU